ensembl:snoRNA SNORD94 small nucleolar RNA, C/D box 94
CAGGCUAUGAUGAUUGGCGCAGGGGUACGGACCUCAGCUGAGUCAUGGGAGCUGAGUGUGUGUGUCUGCCUCUGUCCUGCAUGUGGCAGGCUGGUGGUGGCACCUACACGAGACCGCGCAAUCUGAGCCUG